rnacentral:rRNA from 1 species
GAUGAACGCUGGCGGCGUGCCUAAAACAUGCAAGUCGAGCGAAUGGAUUAAGAGCUUGCUCUUAUGAAGUUAGCGGCGGACGGGUGAGUAACACGUGGGUAACCUGCCCAUAAGACUGGGAUAACUCCGGGAAACCGGGGCUAAUACCGGAUAACAUUUUGAACCGCAUGGUUCGAAAUUGAAAGGCGGCUUCGGCUGUCACUUAUGGAUGGACCCGCGUCGCAUUAGCUAGUUGGUGAGGUAACGGCUCACCAAGGCAACGAUGCGUAGCCGACCUGAGAGGGUGAUCGGCCACACUGGGACUGAGACACGGCCCAGACUCUACGGGAGGCAGCAGUAGGGAAUCUUCCGCAAUGGACGAAAGUCUGACGGAGCAACGCCGCGUGAGUGAUGAAGGCUUUCGGGUCGUAAAACUCUGUUGUUAGGGAAGAACAAGUGCUAGUUGAAUAAGCUGGCACCUUGACGGUACCUAACCAGAAAGCCACGGCUAACUACGU